ACAGACUUCUAUUAUAACUAGACUGCGGAUGUUCGAUGCGUUGUGAAGCAACGGCUGGGGGCGGGACAUGGGACGAUUUUGGGGCGGAAGAAGGAAGUAGAGCGCCUUUUUCCAUGUAUCUCUAUGGUGGACUUGAAGCCAUGUAGUUCCUAGGCAAUUCUUGCCGAGUCGGCCCUGUUUCGUUAAAACGGUAGUCUCCCCUCCCUCCUAAACAACCCAGAUAUUUUUUUCGGGCUGACCCUUUAUUUAAGAAAGCUAUUAAAAUAGUUUAAAUGACCAAUGAGCAUGGCUAUUUGGGUUGAUUGGCAGUUGCCAUUCUUUAGAAUUAUUGUUUUGAUUGACAGGCAGGCCGUUGUCAAGGAGAAGGGCGAGUCUCGCGGCGUCUCCAGGGGAAGCCCCCUCUCUCCCUGCUGCAUUACUUUCAACCAGCUCUGCUUUCAACAGCUUCAUCACUGCGAUGGAUUAUUUAAUUUUGGUACACUUUCCCCACAAAUAUGCUUUGUUGUACUUUUGGAUGUACUUCUCCGUAUUCUGUAAGGACCUCUGCGGUUUUGGCAAAACAACAAACCACACUUCACCUGGAAAACACAGCCAGGACUCACUGUCAGAUGUCUGAAAAUGUACAGUACACGCCAGCAGGUCUCACCAUAGUCAACAUCAUUAAGGAUUUGACUCUCUGACCUGAGAAGAGGCCCCAUAAACACACCUGACAAGGACCAGCCACUGUUGCCAGUGCACAACUGAGGACCUGACCAGCCUGCUGCCAUCUAUGAUACUAUAUAGUACCCGCGGAGGUGUCUGAAGACGUGGAGUACACUGCAGCAGGUAUCACAUGACCAAGGACUUGGACAACGUCUCUGUUUACAUCUAUAGUGUAUUACACAACUGAAGAUGUGCACAGUACGCUGCUGCCUGCAUCCUACCACCACAGAGGAUCCGAUGUGCAGAACCAGCUUCAAAAGCCAUUGCAAUUAUGAAACACAGUUAAUAAAUGCUUAUAUACAGCAGCCCGCACAUUUUGUUUAAUUUGUUAUAUUGGUUAACCACACUAUUGUUACAACACAAUGCAGGUGGUACAUGCAUUGGCAGGUAUCAAUAAAAAGAAAUGUAUGGAGCAUAAUCAUAUUGGGAUAGAGCAGUGGUUCCUAACCUAUGGGUCAGGACCCAACUUAUGGGUCGCCAAAGAUCCACAGUGGGUCGCGAAGCCCUCUUGAUUUUAAGGGGUUUCGUUUUAAUACCAUAUAGCCCAUGUUGAAUAUAUGACAAAGUAAAGCUUUUAAACUGAUAUAUGCAUAGAGGCAACAAAAUGUAAGCGACACAUUAAACAGUCAUUCUAUAUUUGACUGAAGACAAAUUGAGGAAUACAAUUUUCUAAUGAGUUUCCGCAGGACUCCCUCUCGCCUGGGACUCCCUCUCGCCUGGGACUCCCUCUCGCGUGGGCGCUGGCACGAUUGGGUCACCAAAGCUUACAAUGGUAAAAAUAUGGGUCCCUGAAGAAAAAGGUUGGGAACCACUGGGAUAGAGGAAGAUA